rnacentral:rRNA from 1 species
UACAGAGGUGGCAAGCGUUGUUCGGAAUUACUGGGCGUAAAGGGCGCGUAGGUGGCCUUCUUAGUCAGACGUGAAAUCCCCAGGCUUAACCUGGGAACUGCGUCUGAUACUGGAAGGCUCGAGUUCGGGAGAGGAAUGUGGAAUUCCAGGUGUAGCGGUGAAAUUCGUAGAUAUCUGCAGGAACACCCGUGGCGAAAGCGGCGCGCUGGACCACUACUGACGCUGAGGAACGAAAGCUAGGGGAGCAAACAGG